AUUGCAGCCAUUAAAUUACUUUAAUAUAUUUUCAUGGUUUCUCGUAUCUCUCGUUUCUCUCUCUAAUUAUUUCUGUUAUACUGUUUUUCGUUUCGUUUCAAUUAUUUUUUGUGAGUGCAAAUAACAGUCGAACGGUUUGUGUCGAAUUUAUGUCAAGUCGGCUUGUGGGUACUAUGAAAAAACCACAAAGGUUUGACGUUAAUGCAAAUAGGUUAAACCUCGGUCUAUUAAAAAAUAUGAAAUGCAUUGAAAAUGGAAAUAAAUAAUGAAUAUACCUAUAGCUUGGCCAAGAAAUAUUUCUAAUAUGGGAUUCACUGAUUAAUAAGACGAGGAAUAAUAUUGUGGUUCUAUCACCACACAUUUUUUUAUUGCUGGGUGUCAUCUGCAAACUGCUAACACAUGCAAUAUUCAAGUUACUCAUGUCGUUAACAUAAGAUAUAAAAUGCAAUGGGCCAAAGACUGAGCUCUGCGCUUGCUACCUUCACUGGCAAUAACGAGGUUCUAAUUGAAGGGUUCAGGGGAAAAACAACUUUUAUCACUUAAUGAGCACACUGAGAUAUUACUAAUUAACAGUUUAGAUCAUGGAUAAAAUGAUAAAUUAAAGCCAUAUAAAUAAAAAUGCUUUUUUAUUAUAAACAUAUGUUUAUUGUUAAUGUAAUGUUACACUUUUUUAGUUUUGAACCUGGCUUAUUUAGAGGUUACAAUAAAAAAAAACUUCAAAGUCAGAUUUAUCAGUAAAAAAACAACCUAUGUCCACCAAAUUCAGGGGAAAAACAAACAAUGUCCCUGAGGUACAUUGUAACUUUAAUGUAAUAUGAGCUGAAUCCUAACUAUAUUUUAGUGUUAAAUAAUAUUGUUUUGCUGCAGGGUUGCAAUAUUUUGAUAACGACUGAAUGUCUUGGAAUUUUGCUUUACUUAUUGGUAAAAUGUCCUUGUACGCUUGUUCAGGCAGGAUAAAUUCUGCUGAAUCAAUAGGCUCUGCACAAGGUGUUGAGUUUCCUCUUUUUCUUUUUGAAUCCAGCAUAACAGAGGAUGUCCAGUGACCAUUAUAAGAAUUUCUGUAGAAAAUGAGGCGAGGAUGUGAAAUCUCAACUCUUAUUUCACGAAUAGGUCUGAAUAAAAAUGGGCAUGUCUUUUUAUAAAUUGGUGUUAAAAACUUGGUCCAAAAUCUGACUAAAGGCUGAUCAACAUCAAUAACCUGAAAAGGUGAAGGUUUUGCUCUUGACUCAGACACUACUUUUCUCCAGUCAUCUGGUGUUUCACAGGGUGCCUUCUGAUUUAUUAGUGCCAUAUUUUUGUCGCACUCCAAGUAUGAAUGUCCUCUAAUUGGAAAUAUCAUUUUAAUCAUAUCCAAACGCCUGGCUCUAUGAACCACAUAAUGGAUAAAUCUGAACAUGCAAUAAUUUUUAUUCUGCCCACCACAUGAAUCACAGAAUAUUACCAGCUCUCUGACAUUUGUAUUGAGUUUUGUAAAGAUAUAAUGAUGGAGAAAAGAACAAACUUCAUCUGCUCCUUUAUUGGCAAUGGUCUCAUCAUAACAAAAGAAAUAAGAAUCUGAUGAAGAGAGUACAUGAAUGUUAAAUAAAUUGAAGAGAUAGUUGGCACACCAAGCAAGUUAUGGCUUUUGUAUUCCACAAGCAUCUAAAUUGUUUUGUAGCUGGACAUGAUUCAGGGUGUCAAAGGCUUGUGAGAAGUCAAUGAAAAGUGCUAAUACAUGUUUUUUUUAUUAAGACGAACGGCAAGUUGUGAACGGCAGCCGUCGCCACCUAUCGACGACAGUCGUCAACGCGUCGGCGGCAGCAGUCAAUACGUCGACGGCUGCCGCCGGCAGGCGACCACGGCUGCCGUCGACAGGCGACAACGCUUGCCGCGAGUGCCGCAUACUAGCAGUCUUGGUCGGCUUGUACAGGAGCCAGUUGCAAAAUGGCGUCCGAUGAAGAAACAUUGUUAUUGCUUUUACUCCGCCAUCGCCGACGACAACGAAAAAGAAAGACACGUUCAGUGUGGGUUGAAGAAAUAUUAAUGUAUAGAGAACAAGAGGGAGAUUUUUAUACACUGUAUCCACGUUUGCGAAGGUCCGAAAAAAAAUUUUUCAAUUACUUUCGAAUGUCAAUCGCUUCUUUUGAUGAGUUGACAUCUAUUUUGAAACUUUCAAUAUCUCGCCAAGACACUGUGAUGCGAAAAAGUAUACCAGCUGAGCAAAGACUCGCUAUGACAUUAAGGUAAGAGGGUUUUUUUUUUUUUUUUUUUAUAUUACCCGGGAGGGCAAAUGACUCUACUCCACCUGAUGUUAAGUGGUAGUAGAGUCCAAACGCGAGGACGGCCAGUACAGUCGGGAAGAAGGUUCUGCACUAGCCGCCCUCGCCUUGCCGGCCCGCAAGAUGCCUCUUCACGCCUCGUUUGAAGGAAGGGUUUAAUUUUAUCAAAAAAUGGUAUAUACUGGACAUAACUUUAAUGAGAUCAAAUCAAUAUAACUUUGGCAACAUUUUUAAUUUAAGUUAAAAUAGGAACUUUACUUAACAUUAAUUAACAUUUAUAUUAUACUAUAAAACUUUUAACAACAAAUUCUCCAUAAUACUGAUUAUAAAAUCACAAGUGGCGCCGCUACAAGAUUUUUUAAUUUUCCUGAUCAAUCUUUGCAAUUUUUUUUCUCAUAAUCAACUUGUAGUAAAACCAUACAAAACAUAAAAACAAACAAUAUAACAAUAAUUUAGACAAAAAGUAAAUUAUUCUGAGAAGAGUUCAGUUAUUAUGGUAUUUGAAACAGAAUCCUCAGAGGAUAAGCUUUCAAUAUUUGUGAGUUGACUUUUCGGUCUUUCAGGAUGUGUUGUAGUGGAGUACGCCGAAUAGUUAUGAGAAGAAUGACUCGUUGAAGGAAUUGUGUUUUGCAUGGAAUUCUGAGACGACAAGCUUUCAUUAGUUGUGACUUGACUUUCCGGUCUUGCAGAAUGUGUUGUGGUGGAAUAACCCGCGUAGUUAUAUGAAGAAUGACUCGUUGAAGGCAUUGAAAGAGACUUGUAAUGUUUUAUUACUUGCAUAACUUCUAAUUUGGCGUCUAAUUUCCAAUCUGCUGUUAUGUUUUUGAAAUCACUUACUAGGGACAACAGAAAUAACUUAUCCUCAUCUGGAGGAGGAGAAAAGUCUCUCUCAGCUUUAUCCAGUUUAUAAUUUAAUUUCUUAGUUAAUUUUUCAAUCAAAGCAUCAUCACCAUCACUUUGGCGUAUCCGUUGUCGUUUUGGCAUUGGCGUUGGCGUUGUUGUUGGUGGUAGAAUUGUCUGAGAGGGAGCAUCAAAGUUUGAAGUACUUUGACCCUUAUCUUCGGUAACAUCUUUCAAAAAUAGUAGUUGAUCAUAGAAUGUAUACUGUUUUGCUUUAGACACUGCGGAACCACUUUUUCUCUUCAAAGUUCUGCAAUAUCUUGUGAAGCCGUCUCUUAAAGUUUUCCAUUUAGACUGUACCUGUAUACCUAAAAAAAAUAAAAAAUAAUUAUCGCUUAACACGUGCAAGGAGAUAUGUAGAAUGUUCAUUUGGCAUUUUGACCAAUAAGUGGCGAAUCUUUCACACCCCCAUGAAGUUAUCUUUAGAAUUCUGUAAAGAUGUUGUUAAAGCAUGUUGCAUAUUGCAUAAUUUUGUACGUGACAGAGAUGGUUUUACAUUUGAAGAUACACUAACUAUAAACGGUUUGGAAAAUAUAGCCACAAUCCCUAAUGAAGGGGACUCGUUAUCGGGUCCGAUAAUAAGAGAAAAUUUUUCAGAUUAUUUUAGCAGUAGUGAAGGCAGUGUUUCGUGGCAGUUGGAUUGCAUAUAAAACAAAUAGAUAGUAUCUCCAUUAUUAUAUGUAAGAAAUAAUCUGCUUAAAAUUCAAUAAAAUAUUUAAUAAAAAGUCACUUACCGA